CCCAAGGUAUUGCAAAUGGGGUAUGUCCAGUCUUUUUAAAUUUUUUAAUAUUUGUUUGUGUGUUAAAAAUGCAAAAAACGCCAAUUUUUUCCAGUGUUUGUGACUAAGUGGCUACUAAAAAAGACUGGACAUACCCCAUUUGCAAUAACUUGGG